CUGCCUUAGGUCUGGGCCCUCGUGUCUCCACCCAGCACUCAGGCACUGCAGCGUUGAUGCUAGCCUCUUUGCUGAAUGCAGGACACAUCACCCACACCUGGCAGUGCUCAGAAGGCCCAGGGAGUGUCAUUCAUGACCACACGAUGAUGAGGACGGCAGACUUUCCCCCUACCGUGUUCCCAAAGGUAACUCAUGCUCUCCAGAAACAUUUCCACGAUGUGCAGAAUCCCAUGCAGGCAGGCCCCAAAUCAUGGCUGGUAGUCACUCACUGGCUUUAUGCAAUCUACAAGUUACUAAGGAAGAUAAAAAUAGGUGAAUCCAGAAAGGAAUGAGUUCUGCCCAAUGCUUCUUUCUGUGGCCGGUGACACCUAUUAAAGGGAAGCCCUGUGGGCUCAACAGGGCAUGGGGAGGACUUGGCUCCAGUUCUGGCAGUGUGUCACGCUCAGCAGGGCAGAGUGGGAGGGACUGGCAGCUUCUUGGGUAACCCAGGAAAGGAGCGGGCGAGAGGAGCUGGAGACCAGGCAGCAGCUGGGGAGGGAAGGUCCACAUCGGAGCUGUGCAGAGGCUCCUGGGGGACGGAGAUGCUGCUUGACCGUGCCACCUGCUGAGUCUACAGGGCACUUGGGGCUUGGCUCAUGUUACUGCAGAACUGAAUUUUAAUAUUAUUUAAUUUUAACUAAUUUAAAAGUAAACAGUCGUCCGUGGCUGGGGGUCCCACACUGGACAGCAUGGAUCUGGGAGAAAGCAAGGCAGAUGAUCCCGCCAGGAGAAGAGCCUGUGGUGAUGCCCCAAGUGAAGCUCCAGGCGUUUCCGGGCUGUGUGCUGCGCGGGCCUUCCCAGGCCCCUGGGAAACAGGCUCCACACCUGCAUGCCUCGUGGGAAUCUCUUUCACCUUCAGAAGAGAUGACGUGGACACAGAGGGAUGACCCCGUGAAGCCGUGGCAAGAAGGCGGCCACGUGAAGAAGACUGGCCUCAGGAUAAUCCAGCCCUGCCAACCUUAGGCUUCUAGCCUCCAGAGCUGACAGAGUUAAAUUUCUGUUGUUUAGUCACUCAGUCUGGCAUUUUGUUAUGGCGACCCUAGAAGACUAACAUAGAGACUUUCACUUUCUCUAGGGACAAAUCCCCCAGCCUCCUGCCUUGGGGAAAGAGCCAGGGGGGCUAAGGAGCACUGUGGCCUGGGCAUUGGAGGGGCUGGGCCCCACUGCUCACCACGUUGUGGACUUUGGUCUGCCUUUGCCCCCCUCGUGCCCUGAGUCACCAAGGCUGGAGGCAUUCUGACUGGUCUCCUGCUGGGAUGAAGAAAUGUCUGCCACUGAGCCCUGAAGAUGGGAGACAGGACUGGGUGCUUUACCUAUUACAACUUAGAAAUGCACUGCUUUCAGGUGGAUGUCUUCGCCACGUCUUGCCUCACACCUGGAGCUCCCCAGCCCUGCCUCCUCCCGGUGAUGGUGGAGUGGACUGGCUGAUUCCUGCUGCUGUUGUCACAGGGGCUUGCAGACUCAGCCACACUGCACAAUCACCACUCCUUUGUGAACUUUCGUCUUCCAAAAUGUGCUGACAUCUUUGUUUCCUGUUGCUCCACAUCCUUUUUCUUUUCCUUCAUGGUUUCACACCUUAUUCUUUUACCAUAACUUAAGUAAAGAUUUUAUGAAGGAGCUGACAUAACACACAUGUUCAAGUGCCACUAGAAACUGAUCCCUUUGUUCUUAACGUCUUUCCAGCUUAGGCGGGGUCCAGAGGUGACUCUGAGACCAGGGUAGGAGGGCAAGCAGCUUCCUUGGAGGUGAUCCCAGGAAGUGCCAUUAAGAAGGUAGAGAGGUGAGAUAGGGAGGCAGAGGAGCUGGUGCAGGGUGGGUGAAUGAGCAGGGGGUGGCUGUGUCAGCCCCACUGCAGACAUCUGGAAAAAUAUUCCCAGGGGCUCCCCUCCAGGAGCAAGGAGUCUGGAAUAUGUAGCCCCAGUCUCCUCCACUGUUGCUUGAGGGCUGCUCCCGUGUGUUCACCUCCCCACAUUUCUGGCCCUCCCCUGCACAUGACCGGGCACCUUGCUGUGAGUGGAGAAAGCCUCCAACAGAGUCAUGGCGGGUAUUUGCAGUUAGAGCCAUGAGUGCAAAGGGAAUACGGGUGCAGCGCUGGCGUCAUCUGCUGUGUCUCAACCAAUUGCUUUGUCAUGUUUCCAUUUCUCCCAUAUCACAAUCAGCUGAAUGAAGAAUCACAUUAGGCCACUAGAAAGCUGUUAAACUCACUGGAAUCACAGCCAACCACGAACAGGCCUAGGGCUAGACCAGAGCCCAGGGUAGGACAGGCAGAAGCCUCUUCUGAUGGCCCUUCUGACUUGUAGGUUACAGUGGAGGAGCUCAUGUAAGUUUUGUGAAUGUUCCUCAGUAAGGCAUCCUGGGAUAAGGGGUGAAUCCUGGUAGCUGAAAACAAAAUUAGGAGGUUCCAGGAGGAACAGAAUUUUGAGCAGAGGCUAGAGACAGGUGUGUCUUUGGCUGCACCUUGCAUCUCACUUGCAGGGAGGAGCCUCAGCCUGUUAAUGCUUCCCUUUCAAUGCCUCUGCCUGGCUUUCCCAUCAAUCCCAUUUCCUGGAUGCAACCCGAGGGCUCAUGCAUCAUUCCGCAAAGAUGACCCCUCUGUGGGGAGCGGCGACUGUUCUAAAUUAUCUACUGCUGGUAACAAAUGGUUCCAAAGCCUGGUGGCUUGAACAACACCAUUUUCUUCUGUCUGAUAAUUUGUGGGUCAGGAAUUCAGAUCAGACCAGCUGGGUGACUCUUCUACUCCAUAGGGCAUUAACUGGGUCACCUGAUGUGGGGUCACCGGUGUCUGGACUGCCCUGGGGUGCCUGAGAUGGCUGCACUCACACCUGGUGCCUGAGCCUCUCCAGCACGGUGGCCACCGCUAGUUGAACUUCCUGUGUGGCAGCUCAGGGCUCUGGGUGAGUUUUGCAGGGGGAAGCUGCAAAUUUCUCCUGGUUAUCAGCCACAGGAGACUCAGAACAUCACUUCUGCUGUGUCCUACUGGUUACGAGUGACUCAGUGGGGCCAGCCCAGAUUCAAGGGAAAAGGAUGCAGGAAGCAGGUCAAGAAAUGCGUGGUCAUCUUUAGUGUACUGCAGUGACAGCCACUCUCCUCCAGUGACUCCCCUUUCACCUGGUGGCCCAGGACGGGAGGCUUUGCCUAUGAAGAAGCGCCCUUAGCUCAUUAUGUAUUAGACUUCUAAUCUGCACAGCUGAGAAAAUUUCCUUUGUUUUAAAUAUACGUCAAAACAACUCCUAUGUGUGCUUUACUGAUUCAAUCACAAA